CAGUAGCCGCGGUAAUACGUAGGGUGCGAGCGUUAAUCGGAAUUACUGGGCGUAAAGCGUGCGCAGGCGGUUAUAUAAGACAGAUGUGAAAUCCCCGGGCUCAACCUGGGACCUGCAUUUGUGACUGUAUAGCUAGAGUACGGUAGAGGGGGAUGGAAUUCCGCGUGUAGCAGUGAAAUGCUUAGAUAUGCGGAGGAACACCGAUGGCGAAGGCAAUCCCCUGGACCUGUACUGACGCUCAUGCACGAAAGCGUGGGGAGCAAACAGGAUUAGAUACCCCAGUAGUCCCUGUCUCUUAUAC
rnacentral:rRNA from 1 species